GCUGGGGUAGCUCAGUGGGCAGAAGACGAGUCUCUUAAUCUUAGGGUUGUGGGUUCAAGUCCCACACUGGGCA